GGGGGAUAUAAAUCUCUCCAAGGGUCGUUGAAGUACGGACCAGGGAGGUCACAUUAAGCUAUGUAUAGCAGGCUCAUGGAGGAGCUCAGUAGAGAUGCGACCUUCCUCCAUUAUAGUCAGGCCCCGCCCCCCAGUCUAUAAUUUUAACCCCUUAAGGACUGAGCCAAAUGUACCAGUUGUGAACAAAGCGUAAACAAAACCUGGAAUUUGCGCUAUAUGUCUAUUCAGGCGUAAUUCACCUCUUUCAUAUUAUGUGCACCCACACUUGUUAUAUAUCAUUUUAUUCAAGGAAACAGGGCUUUCAUUUAAUAUCAAAUAUUUAGGUAUGAAACAUAAUUUAAUAUAUA